rnacentral:rRNA from 1 species
GAUGAACGCUGGCGGCGUGCCUAAUACAUGCAAGUCGAGCGAACGGACGAGAAGCUUGCUUCUCUGAUGUUAGCGGCGGACGGGUGAGUAACACGUGGAUAACCUACCUAUAAGACUGGGAUAACUUCGGGAAACCGGAGCUAAUACCGGAUGAUAUUUUGAACCGCAUGGUUCAAUAGUGAAAGACGGUCUUGCUGUCACUUAUAGAUGGAUCCGCGCUGCAUUAGCUAGUUGGUAAGGUAACGGCUUACCAAGGCAACGAUGCAUAGCCGACCUGAGAGGGUGAUCGGCCACACUGGAACUGAGACACGGUCCAGACUCCUACGGGAGGCAGCAGUAGGGAAUCUUCCGCAAUGGGCGAAAGCCUGACGGAGCAACGCCGCGUGAGUGAUGAAGGUCUUCGGAUCGUAAAACUCUGUUAUUAGGGAAGAACAUAUGUGUAAGUAACUAUGCACGUCUUGACGGUACCUAAUCAGAAAGCCACGGCUAACUACGUG